UGCCAGCCGCCGCGGUAAUACGGGGGAUGCAAGCGUUAUUCGGAAUCAUUGGGCGUAAGGGGCACGCAGGCGGUCUUAUCAGUCAGAUGUGAAAGCCCGGGGCUCAACCCCGGACGUGCAUUUGAAACAGUAAGACUUGAGUACGGGAGAGGAAAGCGGAAUUCCUGGUGUAGAGGUGAAAUUCGUAGAUAUUCGGUGGAACACCAGUGGCGAAGGCGACUAACUGGACUGAUACUGACGCUGAGGUGCGAAAGUGUGGGGAGCAAACAGGAUUAGAUA
rnacentral:rRNA from 1 species